rnacentral:rRNA from 2 species
GGGGAUUUAACCGCUGGGCGGCGUGCUAAUACAUGCAAGUCGAGCGAACUGAUUAGAAGCUUGCUUCUAUGACGUUAGCGGCGGACGGGUGAGUAACACGUGGGCAACCUGCCUGUAAGACUGGGAUAACUUCGGGAAACCGAAGCUAAUACCGGAUAGGAUCUUCUCCUUCAUGGGAGAUGAUUGAAAGAUGGUUUCGGCUAUCACUUACAGAUGGGCCCGCGGUGCAUUAGCUAGUUGGUGAGGUAACGGCUCACCAAGGCAACGAUGCAUAGCCGACCUGAGAGGGUGAUCGGCCACACUGGGACUGAGACACGGCCCAGACUCCUACGGGAGGCAGCAGUAGGGAAUCUUCCGCAAUGGACGAAAGUCUGACGGAGCAACGCCGCGUGAGUGAUGAAGGCUUUCGGGUCGUAAAACUCUGUUGUUAGGGAAGAACAAGUACAAGAGUAACUGCUUGUACCUUGACGGUACCUAACCAGAAAGCCACGGCUAACUACGUGCCAGCAGCCGCGGUAAUACGUAGGUGGCAAGCGUUAUCCGGAAUUAUUGGGCGUAAAGCGCGCGCAGGCGGUUUCUUAAGUCUGAUGUGAAAGCCCACGGCUCAACCGUGGAGGGUCAUUGGAAACUGGGGAACUUGAGUGCAGAAGAGAAAAGCGGAAUUCCACGUGUAGCGGUGAAAUGCGUAGAGAUGUGGAGGAACACCAGUGGCGAAGGCGGCUUUUUGGUCUGUAACUGACGCUGAGGCGCGAAAGCGUGGGGAGCAAACAGGAUUAGAUACCCUGGUAGUCCACGCCGUAAACGAUGAGUGCUAAGUGUUAGAGGGUUUCCGCCCUUUAGUGCUGCAGCUAACGCAUUAAGCACUCCGCCUGGGGAGUACGGUCGCAAGACUGAACUCAAGGAAUUGACGGGGGCCCGCACAAGCGGUGGAGCAUGGGGUUUAAUUCGAAGCAACGCCGAAGAA